UCGCAAGAACCGCAUCGCAAGGGUCGCAACGAUUUUAAAAACGCGAAAAUUUUAAUAAAAACUGCGAUUUAUUGGAAACUUGAGUCACACCGAUCACUAAGAGUCCUACGACAAAGUCGCAAAGAUAGACUUAUUGCGAUUUUUGCGAUAGCGAUGUCUGCGUUCCGCGACUAUUGCGAUGAUUACGAUUUAAUGGAAACCAGGCUUAAAAUACACACGUGAAAAUGCGCAAGUUGUUACAGAUGUGCAACUGAACAAGUUGUAAACAAGGUUAGGGACCGCUCAUUAUUUAUUGUACAGGG